rnacentral:lncRNA from 1 species
CCGUUCAUCAAAUCAUACAUCAAAAUACAUCCACUAAUACAUAAACAUCAUAGCAUACAUAUUACCUAAAUUGAAUUAAAUAAUUUAUCAAGCAAACACACUCAAGGAAAAUGAUACACGUUAUUGAAAACAUAUUGACAUACCAUCAUCAAGUUCAAUUACCAUCCCAUUACCAACAAGUAACAUAAAACCUAACAAAUUAUUUAUAUCCAUUUAAUCUC